rnacentral:sRNA from 1 species
CCUUCUUCUUCAAUCACGGACCUGUGCCCAGCCGUCCUCUGCUUGCCGCGCUUUCGGGCCUGCGAGUUCAGAGUCGAUGACUGCGGCAGUUCGAUACAUCCUAUGGAGACAUCGCAUUCUUCUGCCUCGCGGCGGCGGUAUGGUGUCAAGUUCCUAUCGACAGGUCCCAGAGCAAUCGAGUCGUCCUGGAGAGAUGCUGAGUUCGCCGUAACAAGCUGAGCGACGCGGACUAGGAAGGCUCGAGACCGUCAUAUUCCAAGCCGUUUUCCGACGAUCGUCGAUCCAUGAGGUUAGGGGAAAACCAUGACUCUGGUCACAAAU